rnacentral:rRNA from 1 species
AGAGUGUGAUUACUGGCUCAUAUUGUACGCUGGCGGCAUGCCUUACACAUGCAAGUCGAACGGCAGCAUGAUCUAUCUUGCUAGAUUGAUGGCGAGCUGGCGAACGGGUGAUUAAUACAUCGGAACGUGCCCUGUAGUGGGGGAUAACUAGUCGAAAGAUUAGCUAAUACCGCAUACGACCUGAGGGUGAAAGUGGGGGACCGCAAGGCCUCAUGCUAUAGGAGCGGCCGAUGUCUGAUUAGCUAGUUGGUGGGGUAAAGGCCCACCWAGGCGACGAUCAGUAGCUGGUCUGAGAGGACGAUCAGYCACACUGGGACUGAGACACGGCCCAGACUCCUACGGGAGGCAGCUGUGGGGAAUUUUGGACAAUGGGCGAAAGCCUGAUCCAUCAAUGCCGCUUGUGUGAAGAAGGCCUUCGGGUUGUAAAGCACUUUUGUCCGGAAAGAAAUGGCUCUGGUUAAUUACCUGGGGCCGAUGACUGUACCGGAAGAAUAAGGACCGGCUAACUACGUGCCAGCAUCCGCUUGUAUACCUAUGGUCCCAASCUGUUAAUCGGAUUUACUGGGCGUUAAGCGUGCKCAGGCGUGCUUGUGUCAAGACCGAUUGUGAAAUCCCCGAGCUUAACUUGGGAAUUGCAUUGUUUGACUGCACGGGCUAGUAGUUGUGCUCUGAUGGGAGG